rnacentral:lncRNA from 1 species
UCUUCUAUCUGUAAUAAAUGUGCAAUUAAUUAUUUUGGUUUCUUGUUACAGACAUCCAUCACAAUCUUUUGCAUUCAGUCUGCCUGAAAUUUAGAAAAGACAAAGUUGGAGAAGCAAGCAUGUCUGUUUUUUCUGUCAUUCAUGUAAGAGCUUGAGUUUCUGGACUUGUAGCUGUAAACUACCCUUUUAAUCAUUUAAAAGCAAGAAGGAGAAUGAAGGGGCAAAAGCAGAUAUUUCACUGUGCAGAGAGAACCAGGGCUAGAAAAAUAG